AAGUCGUAACAAGGUUUCCGUAGGUGAACCUGCGGAAGGAUCAUUAAAAGAAUCGCCCCGUUUUUUCGAGAAUGGGUUCUAUUCCCACAACCGUGUAUACAUACCUUUAUUGCUUUGGCGGGCCGCCCCUCAGGGCGUUGGCUCCGGCUGACCGCGCCCGCCAGAGGACCCAAACUCUUUUGUUUAGUGAUGUCUGAGUACUAUAUAAUAGUUAAAACUUUCAACAACGGAUCUCUUGGUUCUG
rnacentral:misc_RNA from 1 species